rnacentral:rRNA from 1 species
AUGAACGCUGGCGGCGUGCCUAAUACAUGCAAGUCGAACGAGUUCUCGUUGAUGAUCGGUGCUUGCACCGAGAUUCAACAUGGAACGAGUGGCGGACGGGUGAGUAACACGUGGGUAACCUGCCCUUAAGUGGGGGAUAACAUUUGGAAACAGAUGCUAAUACCGCAUAGAUCCAAGAACCGCAUGGUUCUUGGCUGAAAGAUGGCGUAAGCUAUCGCUUUUGGAUGGACCCGCGGCGUAUUAGCUAGUUGGUGAGGUAAUGGCUCACCAAGGCGAUGAUACGUAGCCGAACUGAGAGGUUGAUCGGCCACAUUGGGACUGAGACACGGCCCAAACUCCUACGGGAGGCAGCAGUAGGGAAUCUUCCACAAUGGACGCAAGUCUGAUGGAGCAACGCCGCGUGGAGGAAGAAGGUUUUCGGAUCGUAAACUCCUGUCCUUGGAGACGAGUAGAAGACGGUAUCCAAGGAGGAAGACACGGCUAACUACGUGCCAGCAGCCGCGGUAAUACGUAGGUGGCAAGCGUUAUCCGGAUUUAUUGGGCGUAAAGCGAGCGCAGGCGGUUUUUUAAGUCUGAUGUGAAAGCCCUCGGCUUAACCGAGGAAGCGCAUCGGAAACUGGGAAACUUGAGUGCAGAAGAGGACAGUGGAACUCCAUGUGUAGCGGUGAAAUGCGUAGAUAUAUGGAAGAACACCAGUGGCGAAGGCGGCUGUCUGGUCUGUAACUGACGCUGAGGCUCGAAAGCAUGGGUAGCGAACAGGAUUAGAUACCCUGGUAGUCCAUGCCGUAAACGAUGAAUGCUAGGUGUUGGAGGGUUUCCGCCCUUCAGUGCCGCAGCUAACGCAUUAAGCAUUCCGCCUGGGGAGUACGACCGCAAGGUUGAAACUCAAAGGAAUUGACGGGGGCCCGCACAAGCGGUGGAGCAUGUGGUUUAAUUCGAAGCAACGCGAAGAACCUUACCAGGUCUUGACAUCUUUUGAUCACCUGAGAGAUCAGGUUUCCCCUUCGGGGGCAAAAUGACAGGUGGUGCAUGGUUGUCGUCAGCUCGUGUCGUGAGAUGUUGGGUUAAGUCCCGCAACGAGCGCAACCCUUAUGACUAGUUGCCAGCAUUUAGUUGGGCACUCUAGUAAGACUGCCGGUGACAAACCGGAGGAAGGUGGGGAUGACGUCAAAUCAUCAUGCCCCUUAUGACCUGGGCUACACACGUGCUACAAUGGAUGGUACAACGAGUUGCGAGACCGCGAGGUCAAGCUAAUCUCUUAAAGCCAUUCUCAGUUCGGACUGUAGGCUGCAACUCGCCUACACGAAGUCGGAAUCGCUAGUAAUCGCGGAUCAGCACGCCGCGGUGAAUACGUUCCCGGGCCUUGUACACACCGCCCGUCACACCAUGAGAGUUUGUAACACCCGAAGCCGGUGGCGUAACCCUUUUAGGGAGCGAGCCGUCUAAGGUGGGACAAAUGAUUAGGGUG